rnacentral:rRNA from 1 species
AAGGGUGAUGCCUUAUACCUCUCUGUGGUCCGUCAGGAGCAUGCUCUUCAGUAGGGUGACUCUACUGUUGAUGAUUUCUAUGCACAGUGUUCUGCUAUCUGGCGCUAGCUUGAUUCUCUCCACACUACUGGUUGUCGUACUUGCCCCUGUUCCCAGGAUGUGCAGGCCAAUUUGGAGUUUCAUUGCAUCUACGAGUUCCUGUCUCGGCACCGUAAGGAGUUUAAGCCCCGACGUGCUCAGUUGUUUGCUCGUGGCCGUAUUUCUCUCAUGGAGGCGCUUUUUGAGAUUCGUGCUAAGGAGACUCGCUUACGUGGUGCUCGUUUGCUGGAGGUUCCAUCUGUGCUCGCUACUCGGUCUUCUUCCAUGCCACCUACUACACUGACCCCUUCUCGCUCGAGUGCUCCGCCCUUGCCCACUCCUUCUGGAGGCUCAGGUCGCCCCCGUCCACAUUGCGACUACUGCAACAAUGAUGGUCAUAUUGAGUCCCAGUGCUACACGAAGAGGAAACACCUGCGCAAGGCGCGAUCAUCAUCUUCAGGAACUUCGUCAUUUACCUUGACAGCUUCAGCCAUUGCUUUGACUGAGCAGGAUAUUCUGAGACUUAAGUGUCUGCUCGCGGCUUCAGGUUCUUCCUCAACGGGUACUGCUUGUUCUGUGACUGAUGCUUCCCGCCCUGAGCAACCGCCCUCUACAUAG